AGUCCGUGCUCCUCGACUCCUCGUCAUCCCCAAAUUCAGACUCCCAUAACUGCGCCGCCGUUCCCGUGGGUCUCGCCGUCUUCGAUUCCAAGGUCGCCGCUGGCUAUUAAUGAGGCUAAAGGCGCAAAUCUGGUCCCCAAUCGGCUCUCCUUCCUUUCUCGAUGUUCUGCUCGUUCCCCAUCAGCUAGACGUUGGAGAGACGUUCUUCUUCUCCAGUUCACCACUUCGGUGGAUCUACGUGUGGAAGAGUGUUUAGGAGUCAGGGGAUUAGGAGAACUGGAGAUAGGGGGUCGUUCGUGUUGACUACUACGUACAACAUGUGGAUCUGCUGGUCUGCCCACCUACAUCCACAUCAAAAUCUAUAUCCAGGAAUGUUUGGAAGAAUUGAGUUAUUAUCUGAUUGAGGAAAUUUGGAGUGAAGGACAUGGCCAAUUGGGGAGGAUCCAUAAACAGAU